UGCGCUGGGAGUGCGCUUGCGUUGCACGCCUUGUCCUCCUCCUAUCUGGAAGUUCUGUUCCGGUUUCCUUGUGCGUGUGACUUGCAUCACUUCUGCUUUUGUCAAUUCCGGUUGCUGUGAAGACUUGUGUGCGUAUCAGCGGCCACUGUCUUUGCGUUCCACUUAAAUGUCCGAUAGUGGAAGUGGUAUUUAGGGUAAUGGAUGGAUUCAUAAUCUCUUGUGGAAAUGUCCAUAUAUGUAAGAUC